GACGAACGCUGGCGGCGUGCUUAACACAUGCAAGUCGAACGGGCCUUGUCCCCUUUUUUUUUGGGGGUGGGGUUAGUGGCGAACGGGUGAGUAACACGUGAGUAACCUGCCCCUCACUUCUGGAUAACCGCUUGAAAGGGUGGCUAAUACGGGGUGUUCUGGCCUGCUCGCAUGGGUGGGUUUGGAAAGAUUCGACCGGCUUUGGUUGUUUUGGUGGGGGAUGGGCUCGCGGCCUAUCAGCUUGUUGGUGGGGUGAUGGCCUGCCAAGGCUUUGACGGGUAGCCGGCCUGAGAGGGUGGGCGGUCACACUGGGACUGAGACACGGCCCAGACUCCUACGGGAGGCAGCAGUGGGGAAUAUUGCACAAUGGGCGCAAGCCUGAUGCAGCGACGCCGCGUGAGGGAUGGAGGCCUUCGGGUUGUGAACCUCUUUCGCCAGUGAAGAAGGUCCUGCUCUUUGUGGUGGGGUUGACGGUAGCUGGGUUAAUGAAGCGCCGGCUAACUACGUG
rnacentral:rRNA from 1 species